rnacentral:rRNA from 1 species
UACGUAGGGUGCGAGCGUUAAUCGGAAUUACUGGGCGUAAAGCGUGCGCAGGCGGUCCGCAAAGUCUGAUGUGAAAGCCCCGGGCUCAACCUGGGAACUGCAUUGGAAACUAACGGGCUCGAGUGUGGCAGAGGGGGGUGGAAUUCCACGUGUAGCAGUGAAAUGCGUAGAGAUGUGGAGGAACACCGAUGGCGAAGGCAGCCCCUGGGCUAACACUGACGCUCAGGCACGAAAGCGUGGGGAGCAAACAGG